rnacentral:ncRNA from 1 species
CAUCGGAAAGCCGUAUGAAGGAAAACUUCACGUACGGUUUGAUGAGGAGGUAGGGGAAACCGGGAAACUAGGCGCCUCUUCCUUAC